UACAGAAGCUGCAAGCGUUAAUGAUCUUAACUGGGCGUAAAGCGUACGCAGACGGAUACUAUAAGGAAAGGCUAGAUUGUUAAUUACUGCGGAGAAGGUAGGCAUUUCUAGCAGCGAGUAUCUUAGAGAUGGGUGUGGGUUGAUAGAAUGUCUGAGGGAUUUGAUUUAGUAAAUCUGUGAUCUCAUGAGGACUACCAAUCGCGAAGGCGUUCGACCGAUUCCAUUCUGACGUUCAGGUACGAAAGUUGAGGUAGCAAAAGGG
rnacentral:rRNA from 1 species